rnacentral:rRNA from 1 species
AUGGGCAAAAAACUGGCCCGUGCACGAGGACGAGACAGUGAUGGAUUUACAGUUUUCUCGCGGGGACAGAAAAAACUAGCGAGCGAGCAACCGUCGUUUGUUCCUCACGCUGCCCCCUCCUCUCCCCGCCGCCGCCGCCCACGAUGGAAUUUCCUCCCUCGUCGCUUCCCCGCACGGCCGCACGCCACCGUCGCCGCCUACGCCUCCGGAUCCCUCGCCCGCCUCGCGGCCACUCACGCCAACAUCCUCGCCCCGGACGACUCCCUAUUGUUGCUCAUCGCGCCCCUCUCCGUCACCCCGUCUCCCCGCUUAGCCUCAUGCCUCGUCAAGGCCGUAGCCACGCUCGUUUCCUGCGUCCUCCGCUCCGGCCCCGCCGCUGUCACGGCAGGCGGCCAGGAUGGUCGCCGAGGGGUUGGACGGCGUGGUGCUGUUCCCGAGGCUGUUUGUGAUGUUUGUCGUGCUGAGGAAGGGGACGCCGCGUUCGCAAGGGAUUUGAUUGCUCGGCGAGAUCUUGCUGCAUUUCGACCGCGGGGAUGGGGAGUGGUAGUAUUCAGUUUUCUGGGGAUUGCACUUGUUGGCAAUGUUGAUAAUGAAACAACUUCAUCUGAAGCUUUAUAUAACUCACCUAAGCUUCUACAUGGUGUGUUUGACCAGUUACUCGAUGAUCUGUUCCUGGAGGUUAAUGAUCACGACAUUGGAAGUCCAGUGUCUGCUUCUACAUGUGCUACUUGUUCAAUGUCUAUAAGAAGAUACUGCGAUCUGCACUUCUGUAGUAGGCUGGGGAUGAUACAUGCGGUUGCAUGUCAGAGUCAUGUUACGAAGUCCAGUGUCUGCUUUUGCAUGUGCUCCAUGUUCCAUGUCUAUAGGAACAGGCCGCGAUCUGCACUUAUGUAG